UUCACUUCCUGGUUCCUUUUUUACUCCAAGUCAGACAUGACUCAUCAAAUUCAGUGGAACCUCCCUUUACAAAUUUAAAUCGUUCCGUGACUCCAUUCGCAAACCAAGGUCGUGUUUCCAUUGAGCAGUGUUGUUUUUGUCAACAAUGAAGAUGAAAAAAUUUAGUUGACAACCCCCAUUUUUUCAGGACGAAAACGUGACGCAAAGAGCUAAACGUGGCUCUUUGAUAACUAAAACGUUGAUGAGACAUGCGCAAGUUUUCGUUGACACGACUGGAUGAAAGGGUUAGCGCGUCAGUGCUCUGUCAGAUGAUCAUUCAAAGGUGUGCUGACGCCUACCUCAGCUGACUUUGGGCGAGAGGUCUGGAGAUGCUACACAGCAAGUUUGAAGUCAAUCGGAUGAAAGCUGAAUGGUCGUAAAAGAGGGAUACCAACAAUUUGGUCCACGAGUGUAUGUGACCCACAGGAUGCGGUGCAAGAAAAGACAACUGAGCCUUCUGCACGUCCACCAUUGACACAAUUUAAUGUUGUGGCUGAUUUCCUAGAGCAAGCCCAACAUACUUUGUCUGGAAUGACAAAACUCCUUGCAGUAUGACAUAAUCCAUAACCAACGAUUUGCCCUACAACGCCAAAGUGAAAGGUCUAGCAUGGUUGAUUUUUUUGGGAUAUCUUCCGUGUAGUGUGACAUGUCAACGAGAACCCUCCGACAUAUCACCUGACGUCAACCAACAGGAUUGCAUCUUACAAUGCCCCAUCGGCUUCCUUGCUCGUCAUUGUCAACAUUUGUGCGUACGCACAAACCAAUGUUUACUGAAACUUUGGAGCAGGAGUGUCAAACUCAUUUUUGUCAAGGCCCACACUGAAGUUAUAGAUUCCUUUAGAGGGCCAUUACGACUGUGAAACCACAUAAAUGUAUCAUCGCCUCAUCUUAUUACAUAAAGUAUUCAUACAAAAAAUUAUGGAUAACUACUGUAAUUUCUCGUGUAUAAUGCGCAACCAUGUGUAAUACGCACCCCCAAAGUUGACCAAAAGUCUGGAAAACCCUUCUACCCAUGUAUAAUGCCUUUUUACAAUCCAUGAUUUUGCUUCUACCCAUAUGAUCAAAACCCACCCUUGAGGACCAAACAGGUCUGCGGAUGAUGCAGUCAAAAUGGGACUGGACUUCAUCCUGGAACACCUUGACAGUGCAGGGACCUACGCGAGGAUCCU